rnacentral:rRNA from 1 species
CCUACGGGCGGCAGCAGUGGGGAAUAUUGGACAAUGGGCGAAAGCCUGAUCCAGCCAUGCCGCGUGUGUGAAGAAGGCCUUCGGGUUGUAAAGCACUUUCAGUGGGGAAGAAAGCCUUGGGGCUAAUACCCUCGAGGAAGGACAUCACCCACAGAAGAAGCACCGGCUAACUCCGUGCCAGCAGCCGCGGUAAUACGGAGGGUGCGAGCGUUAAUCGGAAUUACUGGGCGUAAAGCGCGCGUAGGCGGUCUGAUAAGCCGGUUGUGAAAGCCCCGGGCUCAACCUGGGAACGGCAUCCGGAACUGUCAGGCUAGAGUGCAGGAGAGGAAGGUAGAAUUCCCGGUGUAGCGGUGAAAUGCGUAGAGAUCGGGAGGAAUACCAGUGGCGAAGGCGGCCUUCUGGACUGACACUGACGCUGAGGUGCGAAAGCAUGGGUAGCAAACAGGAUUAGAUACCCCUGUAGUC